rnacentral:lncRNA from 1 species
GUCUUAGUCCUAGCCUCUUGAAAACUAAUUUCCUGUAGGGGAAAGAGCUGUUAAGGUGGCUGUCAAAGUGUUGUGCAGCACAAAUUUCUCUUCUUUUUCUCGAUCUUGUCUUUUUUUUUGCCCUAAUCUUCUUUCUUUUUCUUUUUUAUUUUUUUAGAGAUAUCAGGUGUGGGUAAACCUACAUAACCUGUAUUAACCUUCUGAUGAAGAGCUGAGAUUAUUUCAUGUUUUAAAAAGGAAAAAGAAAAACUCAAAAGCCAAAAUAUUACAAGAGCACGCCUCGCCUCAGGUCUGAGGUGCACGCCUCGCCUCAGGUCUGAGGUGCACGCCUUACACAUGUCGCCUGCCUUUCUUAGCUUGACAACUAUGUGGUUUACUAUCACAGAAGUCCACCUUUGGAAAUAAAAUCUUUUGAGAAGAAAACCCUUAACAUCAACAGUUAUUAUUAUAUAAUAGUGAUAUUGGAAAUUACAUGCAAUUAAUUCAUUAUCCAUUUAUUCCAAGUAAUGGAUCCAAUUCAAUUCCAAGAACAUGGACAUUAUUCAGAAC